rnacentral:lncRNA from 1 species
CUUGAACAUGAAUAAUUUGUUCACUAUCAUGACUGCAGGUAUUAUCUGUCCUGGGCUUGACUUUUCAGCACUCUCAUUGAUGCAUUUUAAAGCUCACUUACAGAAGAGAACGCACAGAGAAUUGUGCCACAAGAUGGGGAGAGCACAGAGAAAAGGGACAAAUGCUUCAGAACAUUUCUCAAUUUCCCGCUCUUAGCACAGUGUUCACGUUAAAGGGGAGUGUCACCGGUGACCACUGUCAUUUACUACCUGUUACUUCACAAUCAAAUUAUAUUUACAAACUGUAGUCUUGAAAUUUAAAACGCUAUUGACAAAUCAUUUCCUCAGUUCUAGCCCCAAGAGCUUUCCUAUUUCAGAACAAUCUACAGAAUGACAUUAUUGUGAUCUUGUACCUAGGGCCACGAUUAUCUGUUGUGAAAUGCCAGAUUCUUCUUUUUAAAACCUAGACAAAAAUGGUGGAGUUAGAAAUGUGCCAGGGGAUUCCAAUACAACCCCACCAAGGUGGCAUGUACCAUUGCCAUCUCACUAGUCCAAGUGAUCAAUUUCAGUUCGCAAUUGAUCCUACUGAUAGGUCUAAGAGUCAAAGGGAUCACAUAAAGAAGACUAGUCUCUGCUAAUACUAACUGAUAGAAUUAAAAAAAAGAGAAUGAUCCAACAUGGGAAGUGGGAUACACAGCAGACUCAGAAUGGCAGAUGUCCUAAACAGCACUCUGGCCUCAGAAUCAGCCCUUAUGGCAUUAGGAUCUGGCUGAAGAGCCCAUGAGAGUAUUUUAGGCAUGGAAAGCCAAGACGCUCUGGGAAAAAAAAAAAAAAAAAAAAAAAAAAAAAAAAAAAAAAAAAAACACACAACAACAACAACAAAAAAAAACAAACAAAAACAAAACAAAACAAAAAAAAACAAACACUAAAUGAAAGAUCUCUGCGAGUGAGAUCCCAGUAGAAAGAACGGGCCAUCAAAGAAGGAGGUACCUUUCUCUGAAGGGAGGAGAGAACUUCCACUUUGACUAUGACCUUGUCUAAAUAAGAUCGAAGCCGGUGAACUCAAAAGGCUUCCAUAGCCUUGGCAACUCAUGACAAGAGCCUAGGGAGAUUACUGAUGCCAUAAACAAGAGUGUCAAUUUGUUAAGUCACUGUGUACUUACUCCUCAUGUAGGAUCUCUGUCCUUAAUGUGUUGUGCAAUGUGAACUAUUGCUAUAACUAGUACUUAAACAGUAUUUUACACUUUAUGUUCUGUGUGGGUGCAAACUGAUGAAAUCUUUACUUAAUAUAUACUAAAUAUAUACUAAAUUGAUCUUCUGUAUACAAAGAUAAUUGAAAAUGAAUCUUGAUGUGAAUGGAAUGGGAGAGGAAGUGGAAGAUGGGAGGGUUGUGGGUGGGAGGGAAGUUAUGGGUGGGAAAAGUCAUUGUAAUCCAUAAACUGUACUUUGGAAAUUUAUAUUUACUAAAUAAAAGUUUAAAAAAAACCUAGACA